AUGUACAAAGUGAAAUCCUAAGGCAAUUCCCUAGAAUAAAAAAAAUGUGGGUGCUUAUGGAAGACAAAGUGUGUUACUGGUUGAGGAUAUUGAGGAGGGUGACUCUACGUUGCUACCACUG